rnacentral:rRNA from 1 species
UCUGGUAAGUCAGAGGUGAAAGUCGUUUGCUUAACGAACGAAUUGCGUUUGAAACUGUCAGACUCGAGUAUGGAUGCGGUAGGCGGAAUGUGUAGUGUAGCGGUGAAAUGCAUAGAUAUUACACAGAACACCGAUUGCGAAAGCAGCUUACCAAACCAGCACUGACGCUGAAGCACGAAAGCGUGGGUAGCGAACAGGAUUAGAUACCCUGGUAGUCCACGCAGUAAACUUUGCUCACUCGCUGUUGGCGAUAUACAGUCAGCGGCUAAGGGAAACCGAUAAGUGAGCCACCUGGGGAGUACGAUCGCAAGAUUGAAACUCAAAGGAAUUGACGGGGGCCCGCACAAGCGGUGGAACAUGUGGUUUAAUUCGAUGAUACGCGAGGAACCUUACCUGGGCUUAAAUGUACGAUGGUAUAUUCCGAAAGGGAUAUUUCCUACGGGACAUUGUACAAGGUGCUGCAUGGUUGUCGUCAGCUCGUGCCGUGAGGUGUCGGGUUAAGUCCCAUAACGAGCGCAACCCCUAUUGUUAGUUACCAGCGCGUUAAGGCGGGGACUCUAGCGAAACUGCCGGUGUAAACCGCGAGGAAGGUGGGGAUGACGUCAAAUCAGCACGGCCCUUAUGUCCAGGGCUACACACGUGUUACAAUGGUCGGUACAGAGGGCAGCGAUACAGUGAUGUACAGCGAAUCCCAGAAGCCGAUCCCAGUUCGGAUUGGAGUCUGCAACCCGACUCCAUGAAGGUG